rnacentral:rRNA from 1 species
GUUGCCAGCAUUCAGUUGGGCGACUCUAAGGUGACUGCCGGCUAAAAGUCGGAGGAAGGUGGGGAGUGACGUCAAAUCAUCAUGCCCCUUACUGACCUGGGCUACACACGUGCUACAAUGGGCGGUACAAAGGGUCGCGAACCCGCAGGGGAGCCAAUCCCAAAAAGCCGCUCUCAGUUCGGAUUGCAGGCUGCAACUCGCCUGCAUGAAGCCGGAAUCGCUAGUAAUCGCGGAUCAGCAUGCCGCGGUGAAUACGUUCCCGGGCCUU